AUUGAACGCUGGCGGCAGGCUUAACACAUGCAAGUCGAGCGGAGAUGAGGUGCUUGCACCUUAUCUUAGCGGCGGACGGGUGAGUAAUGCUUAGGAAUCUGCCUAUUAGUGGGGGACAACAUUCCGAAAGGAAUGCUAAUACCGCAUACGUCCUACGGGAGAAAGCAGGGGAUCUUCGGACCUUGCGCUAAUAGAUGAGCCUAAGUCGGAUUAGCUAGUUGGUGGGGUAAAGGCCUACCAAGGCGACGAUCUGUAGCGGGUCUGAGAGGAUGAUCCGCCACACUGGGACUGAGACACGGCCCAGACUCCUACGGGAGGCAGCAGUGGGGAAUAUUGGACAAUGGGGGGAACCCUGAUCCAGCCAUGCCGCGUGUGUGAAGAAGGCCUUAUGGUUGUAAAGCACUUUAAGCGAGGAGGAGGCUACUGGGACUAAUACUCUUGGAUAGUGGACGUUACUCGCAGAAUAAGCACCGGCUAACUCUGUGCCAGCCGCCGCAGUAAGAC
rnacentral:rRNA from 1 species